GAUGAACGCUAGCGGCAGGCCUAAUACAUGCAAGUCGAACGGUGUCUUCGGACAUAGUGGCGCACGGGUGCGUAACACGUAUGCAACCUACCUUACAUUGGGGGAUAGCCUUUCGAAAGGGAGAUUAAUACCGCAUAAGACAGUAGCUGGGCAUCCAGCAGCCGUUAAAGAUUUAUCGAUGUAAGCUGGGCAUGCGUCCAAUUAGCUAGUUGGUGAGGUAACGGCUCACCAAGGCAAUGAUUGGUAGGGGAACUGAGAGGUCAAUCCCCCACACUGGCACUGAGAUACGGGCCAGGCUCCUACGGGAGGCAGCAGUAGGGAAUAUUGGGCAAUGGACGCAAGGCUGACCCAGCCAUGCCGCGUGCAGGAUGAAGGCGUUAUGCGUUGUAAACUGCUUUUAUACAGGAAGAAACGACUCUUGCGAGAGGCAUUGACGGUACUGUAUGAAUAAGCACCGGCUAACUCCGUGCCAGCCGCCGCAGUAACAC
rnacentral:rRNA from 1 species